UAGCCUAUAAUUAUGGUAAUUAGUUGCAUAGAUUUUUCAUCCUUUUUUAAAACCACAAUGACGACUUAAAGGGGUGUUUUAGCUCGGUGGCUCUUCUUCGCGUCUCAUCCUUUCGGUCGACAGAAGCCUAAUGACGCCCAACCUCAGGCUGUUCAACGAUCGGUCCGACGAGAUACAACCGAUUCGCAAUCCCCCAAGCCUCUGUAACCUGUUGGGCAGAUCACUCACUAGUUCCCCAAUAAAACGCCCAAUGAGCCACUUCCGAUGAUGCGACUUGGAUGGAAGCCAACGACACAGUUCAAGCCCACAGAAAGGACAGGUAAUCUUGCAAUCUGUGAUCUUUUGAAUUCUGCACAUCGGUUUAUUGAUGGCAACAUAGUGUCUUGUGAUUUUGUGAUCAAUUCUUCCACCAUCGUGAUUGAAAGAGGAUCUUAAGAGGAAAACUUUACGCCAAAUUGGUGCUCUGAAACCUUUUCAUUGGAAUUGCUCAUGAGUUUUUGGAAUUGGCCCCAAAAGUCACCGCCAUGAUUGUAGGGGUUGUGCUGUUAGAACUAAUCACAGGGCGUAAACCUGUGGACGGGUCUCAGCCUGGAAAAAAACUAUGUGCAGGUUGAAAUGUUCCGGAUGAUUGGAGCAGUUGUAGCCUGUAUACGCCAUUUAGCACCAAAAAGGCCACCAAUGAGUCAGGUGGUGACAGCUUUGGACUCGAUUGUUGAGUUCACAACAGAUCUGUCAAAUGGGAUGAAACCAGGGCAGAGUGGAAUCUUUGAUUCACGAGAAUAAUCUGCACAUCGAUCUGUCAAAAGGACAACAAGGAUGCUGAGCCCACUGAGUUUGAACAGAGUGUUGCUCAUGUAAUCCCCGAUUAAUGUCAUUCUCUUCAUUGAUUUCUUUAAUUCAUCUCAACACAGGCAUUGUUCGACUUUGAAAACACCCACCAAGAGCUCAAGAGUGACUUGAAGGAUUUGUACCUCAACUCUGCAAAGUAUGAAUAUCAAACCCAUUAAUCCCAUAUAAAUCCUCUCCCAUUUCUCCUUCAUCAUAUCACAUAUUAAUCUCUGUUUGAUGCUUCUUUUCCAGUCAAAUUGAUGUUGGAAACAAAAAGGCUGUUGUGAUUCACGUCCCAUAUAGAUUAAGGAAACUUAUAGGUUACGAACCUGUUUUUUACGAUUGAAGUUGAUUUUGAGUACGCCUGGUGUUACUUAUUCGCAUUCUGAAAGCAUAUUUUGUUGUGGGUGGAUACCUGGAGUAUCAAGAUCAUUGCUUGGUUAGUCGGUUUAAAGAUAUUUUUAACCUUGGGUGUCUUCCUUAAUCCUUGGUCAUUGCUAUUGUUGCUUUGUUUCCUGCUAUUUAAUUUAAAGACCCUUUUGCCCUUGGCUUUUCAUUGGUGCAAUUUGAUCAGUUUCUUUCUACAUAUGGUCAACCAUUCUUGCCCACACCCAUUUUGCCGAAGAUUGCAAAAAGUUAGAAUGAGUAAUCUUUAUUUUACCUUAUGUAGUAAAAUGGAUGGAGGAUUGAUUACAAAAUUAAAUGCUUGAUAAUCUUUAUUUUCUUAUGUUGUGUUGAAAAUUGUAGUGCACAAGUAUUAUUGUUGCACCAAAGGAGAAGGUUUAUGUAGAUGAUUCAAUGGAUGAUAUUGGUGAGAUUCUAAUUCUAUUGGAAUAGAAUGAUGAAUUCCAAUUUUGUUGGAAUGGAAUGACAAAUUCCAAUUCUGUUGGAAUCACAGAAGUUGAUGCUUGAAGAACGGACCACAUUAUUCUUUUAGAAUGAAUUAGUCGUUGUUAGAUUUUGAUGUUUUCUUCCCCCUUUUGAUUGUUUUUUUAGUUUUAUUCUUUAACAAUAAAUGUAAUUUUUAACCAUUGUUACCCGUAUUCUAUAAGAAAUAAUGUAUUUUUUUGUUUUUAUUUUUCAAUUGAUUGUUCAAGAUUUUGUUAUUCUACAAGAA